rnacentral:rRNA from 1 species
GACGAACGCUGGCGGCGUGCCUAAUACAUGCAAGUUGAGCGCUGAAGGUUGGUACUUGUACCAACUGGAUGAGCAGCGAACGGGUGAGUAACGCGUGGGGAAUCUGCCUUUGAGCGGGGGACAACAUUUGGAAACGAAUGCUAAUACCGCAUAAAAACUUUAAACACAAGUUUUAAGUUUGAAAGAUGCAAUUGCAUCACUCAAAGAUGAUCCCGCGUUGUAUUAGCUAGUUGGUGAGGUAAAGGCUCACCAAGGCGAUGAUACAUAGCCGACCUGAGAGGGUGAUCGGCCACAUUGGGACUGAGACACGGCCCAAACUCCUACGGGAGGCAGCAGUAGGGAAGCUUCGGCAAUGGACGAAAGUCUGACCGAGCAACGCCGCGGGAGGGAAGAAGGUUUUCGGAUCGUAAAACUCUGUUGGUAGAGAAGAACGUUGGUGAGAGUGGAAAGCUCAUCAAGUGACGGUAACUACCCAGAAAGGGACGGCUAACUACGUG